rnacentral:rRNA from 1 species
ACAACUGCAUGCUUAGUAGCGGCGAGUGAAGCGGCAAAAGCUCAAAUUUGAAAUCUGGCUCUUUCAGAGUCCGAGUUGUAAUUUGAAGAAGGUAUCUUUGGGUCUGGCUCUUGUCUAUGUUUCUUGGAACAGAACGUCACAGAGGGUGAGAAUCCCGUGCGAUGAGAUGAUCCAGGCCUAUGUAAAGUUCCUUCGAAGAGUCGAGUUGUUUGGGAAUGCAGCUCUAAGUGGGUGGUAAAUUCCAUCUAAAGCUAAAUAUUGGCGAGAGACCGAUAGCGAACAAGUACAGUGAUGGAAAGAUGAAAAGAACUUUGAAAAGAGAGUGAAAAAGUACGUGAAAUUGUUGAAAGGGAAGGGCUUGAGAUCAGACUUGGUAUUUUGUAUGUUACUUCUUCGGGGGUGGCCUCUACAGUUUAUCGGGCCAGCAUCAGUUUGGGCGGUAGGAGAAUUGCGUUGGAAUGUGGCACGGCUUCGGUUGUGUGUUAUAGCCUUCGUCGAUACUGCCAGCCUAGACUGAGGACUGCGGUUUAUACCUAGGAUGUUGGCAUAAUGAUCUUAAGUCGCCCGUCUUGAACCACGGACCA